UAGUAAUUGCAGAAUAAAGGUGCUCAAUUUAUGAGCUUAAUAGGGAAUUCGGUGCAAAACCGAAGCUGUUUCCGCAACUGUAAGUGUAGAUGACUACAGAGUAUACCACUGUCCAACGAGGAAAAAUGCCUCUAGUAGAUGGGAAGGUUCUGAACUAGGAUACACGAGCCAGGAGACCUGCCUUUAUUUCAUCGUAUUA
rnacentral:ncRNA from 2 species